rnacentral:rRNA from 1 species
CGUCCUGGUAGCGGGGGAUAACUAAUUGGAAACGAAUAGCUAAUACCGCAUAAUAUUGAUUAUUUGCAUGAUAAUUGAUUGAAAGAUGCAACUGCAUCACUACCAGAUGGACCUGCGUUGUAUUAGCUAGUAGGUGAGGUAACGGCUCACCUAGGCGACGAUACAUAGCCGACCUGAGAGGGUGAUCGGCCACACUGGGACUGAGACACGGCCCAG